rnacentral:lncRNA from 1 species
CUUGUUUAAAAGAAGUAUCGAUCGACAACUCUUUAGUAUUGUUCGACACUCUGCAUAAUUCGCAUACGAGAGCAGGAAUUAUAGGAUUUAAACAAUUGAUUAGACUCGCAGCGAGACCUGGAUAUCUUACUAUUGAAUUUGAGUUCUACGACGGUACCUAUCACACCUUCCAAGCAUCGCUGUUCUUCUUGGGUAACAAUAAAUCUCAGAUUGAUGAGACUGGAUCGAAACCGUAGACCCAAUCAGUAACAUGUCGACGAACUGCAAGCUCUAUAUAAAGGGAGGUGGAACGAAACUGUGAUGAAAAAGUAAAGAACACCAUUGAAUGAUCGAGAGUGAUGAUGAUAACGUCCAUUUACAGAGAGCUGAAACGAUAAGGAAAUGGAAGA